rnacentral:siRNA from 1 species
AUGGUGUAAAUGUUCAUAACUUA